rnacentral:rRNA from 1 species
GACGAACGCUGGCGGCGUGCUUAACACAUGCAAGUCGAACGGUAAGGCCCCAGCUUGCUGGGGUACACGAGUGGCGAACGGGUGAGUAACACGUGGGUGACCUGCCCCGCACUUCGGGAUAAGCCUGGGAAACUGGGUCUAAUACCGGAUAGGACCGCACCGUGAGGGUGUGGUGGAAAGUUUUUCGGUGUGGGAUGGGCCCGCGGCCUAUCAGCUUGUUGGUGGGGUAAUGGCCUACCAAGGCGGCGACGGGUAGCCGGCCUGAGAGGGUGGACGGCCACAUUGGGACUGAGACACGGCCCAGACUCCUACGGGAGGCAGCAGUGGGGAAUAUUGCACAAUGGGCGGAAGCCUGAUGCAGCGACGCCGCGUGGGGGAUGACGGCCUUCGGGUUGUAAACUCCUUUCGCCAUCGACGAAGGUUUUCUGACGGUAGAUGGAGAAGAAGCACCGGCUAACUACGUG